UACGUAGGGGGCAAGCGUUGUCCGGAAUCAUUGGGCGUAAAGAGCGUGUAGGCGGCCAGAAAAGUCCGCUGUGAAAACUCGAGGCUCAACUUCGAGCUGUCGGUGGAAACUUUCUGGCUAGAGUCCGGAAGAGGAGAAUGGAAUUCCGUGGUGGUAGCGGUGAAAUGCGCAGAUAUCAGGAAGAACACCCGUGGCGAAGGCGGUUCUCUGGGACGGUACUGACGCUGGAGACGCGAAAGCGUGGGGAGCGAACAGGG
rnacentral:rRNA from 1 species